AACGAACGCUGGCGGCAGGCCUAACACAUGCAAGUCGAACGCACCGCAAGGUGAGUGGCGCACGGGUGAGUAACACGUGGGAAUGUACCCUUUGGUUCGGAAUAACGUUUGGAAACGAACGCUAAUACCGGAUGAGCCCUGUGGGGGAAAGAUUUAUCGCCAAAGGAGCAGCCCGCGUCUGAUUAGCUAGUUGGUGGGGUAAAGGCCUACCAAGGCGACGAUCAGUAGCUGGUCUGAGAGGAUGAUCAGCCACACUGGGACUGAGACACGGCCCAGACUCCUACGGGAGGCAGCAGUGGGGAAUAUUGGGACAAUGGGCGGAAGCCUGAUCCAGCCAUGCCGCGUGAGUGAUGAAGGCCUCGGUUGUAAGACGUACUUUCGUCACGCGACGAUGAUGACGGUAG
rnacentral:rRNA from 1 species